UCCCUAAAAAUAAAUACUAGCCUUGUAAGAAUCACUGCCUUUAUCAAAAUAAUGAAUUCAGACUUGAUGCCUCACAUGUAUCAUCCAUUGUCAUCCUUGGAAAAAUAUACAUCAAUACAACAAGAAAAUGGAAUUGAAGAGCAAGUGGAAUCGCAUUUCAAUUGUGAAUACAAUUAAAAUGAAAUAAACAAGUGGCCGGCGAUUACACUUUCUUAAUAAGGCUAAACCAAAAAACUACAUGAACUCAUCUAAAUCAUACCUCAACAUCAUCAAGAUCAU
rnacentral:misc_RNA from 1 species